rnacentral:rRNA from 1 species
GUAGGGAAUAUUGCACAAUGGGGGAAACCCUGAUGCAGCGACGCCGCGUGAGUGAUGAAGGCCUUCGGGUCGUAAAGCUCUGUCGUAUGGGACUAACACAAUGAAGGUACCAUGCAAGAAAGGAUCGGCUAACUUCGUGCCAGCAGCCGCGGUAAGACGAGGGAUCCUAGCGUUGUUCGGAAUCAUUGGGCGUAAAGCGGGUGUAGGCGGAUUUAUAAGUCAGGUGUGAAAUCCCAGGGCUCAACCCUGGAAGUGCACUUGAUACUGUAAAUCUUGGGUGUGGUAGAGGUUACUGGAAUUGUUGGUGUAGUGGUGAAAUACGUAGAUAUCAACAGGAAUACCGGAGGCGAAGGCGAGUAACUGGGCCAACACUGACGCUGAGACCCGAAAGCGUGGGGAUCAAACAGGAUUAGAAACCCCUGUAGUCC